rnacentral:tRNA from 1 species
GGGCGAUUAGCUCAGUUGGUAGAGCAGCGCAUUUACACUGCGAAGGUCGGGGGUUCGAGCCCUCCAUCGCCCA